rnacentral:rRNA from 1 species
UACAGAGGUCUCAAGCGUUGUUCGGAUUCAUUGGGCGUAAAGGGUGCGUAGGUGGCGGGGUAAGUCGGAUGUGAAAUCCCGGGGCUCAACCUCGGAACUGCAUUCGAUACUGCUUUGCUUGAGUACUGGAGAGGAGAUUGGAAUUUACGGUGUAGCAGUGAAAUGCGCAGAUAUCAGGAGGAACACCGGUGGCGAAGGCGGGUCUCUGGGCCGAUACUGACGCUGAGGAGCGAAAGCGUGGGGAGCGAACAGG